GGGGGUAUAGCUCAGUGGUAGAGCAUUCGACUACAAAUCAAGAGGUCCAUGUGGUUCAAACCCGAGUGUCUUCU